rnacentral:rRNA from 1 species
CUUUUGUAGAAUGAACCGGCGAGUUACGAUUUGAUGCAAGGUUAAGCAGUAAAUGUGGAGCCGUAGCGAAAGCGAGUCUGAAUAGGGCGUUUAGUAUUUGGUCGUAGACCCGAAACCAGGUGAUCUACCCUUGGUCAGGUUGAAGUUCAGGUAACACUGAAUGGAGGACCGAACCGACUUACGUUGAAAAGUGAGCGGAUGAACUGAGGGUAGCGGAGAAAUUCCAAUCGAACCUGGAGAUAGCUGGUUCUCUCCGAAAUAGCUUUAGGGCUAGCCUCAAGUGAUGAUUAUUGGAGGUAGAGCACUGUUUGGACGAGGGGCCCCUCUCGGGUUACCGAAUUCAGACAAACUCCGAAUGCCAAUUAAUUUAACUUGGGAGUCAGAACAUGGGUGAUAAGGUCCGUGUUCGAAAGGGAAACAGCCCAGACCACCAGCUAAGGUCCCAAAAUAUAUGUUAAGUGGAAAAGGAUGUGGCGUUGCCCAGACAACUAGGAUGUUGGCUUAGAAGCAGCCAUCAUUUAAAGAGUGCGUAAUAGCUCACUAGUCGAGUGACACUGCGCCGAAAAUGUACCGGGGCUAAACAUAUUACCGAAGCUGUGGAUUGUCCUUUGGACAAUGGUAGGAGAGCGUUCUAAGGGCGUUGAAGCAUGAUCGUAAGGACAUGUGGAGCGCUUAGAAGUGAGAAUGCCGGUGUGAGUAGCGAAAGACGGGUGAGAAUCCCGUCCACCGAUUGACUAAGGUUUCCAGAGGAAGGCUCGUCCGCUCUGGGUUA